rnacentral:rRNA from 1 species
GAUGAACGCUAGCGAUAGGCUUAACACAUGCAAGUCGAGGGGUAACGUGUUGGAAGCUUGCUUCCGAUGACGACGACCGGCGGAUGGGUGCGUAACGCGUAUGCAACUUGCCUCACAGUGGAGAAUAACCCGGAGAAAUCCGGACUAAUGUUCCAUACACUCUUAAGUACUCCUGUACAUGAGAGGAAAGAUUUAUCGCUGUGAGAUAGGCAUGCGUCCUAUUAGGUAGUUGGUGAGGUAACGGCUCACCAAGCCGACGAUAGGUAGGGGUGCUGAGAGGCAGAUCCCCCACAUUGGGACUGAGACACGGCCCAAACUCCUACGGGAGGCAGCAGUGAGGAAUAUUGGUCAAUGGAGGAAACUCUGAACCAGCCAAGUCGCGUGAAGGAAGAAUGUCCUAAGGAUUGUAAACUUCUUUAGCGAGCGAGUAAGGACUUCCACGUGAUGGGAGUUUGAAAGUAGCUCGAGAAUAAGAAUCGGCUAACUCCGUG